rnacentral:tRNA from 1 species
UGGGGCGUCGCCAAGUGGUAAGGCAUCGGGUUUUGGGUCCGACAUUCGUAGGUUCGAUCCCUGCCGCCCCAG